CUUGCAUUGUGAUCAAAAUUGUAUUUCUUUCAGAAUAGCUAAAGUUGAAAUGUUGUGAAAGGGGCAUGGCAAUCAUCCAAACCACCAAAAAAGACACAUGAACCUUCUCAACUUAUCGUUAUAAGAGAGUGAUAUUUGUGGGAUGAUGUAGAACCAACCUCUCUUGGGAAGGACAAAAAUGCUAUUUUGCUACUCAUUCUUAUGAACUGACUGACAGUACCACAACUCCCACCUUUUUCCGAUUAUAAAGAUAUUAACCAACUGUUUUUACAACGUCAAUGUUGGUUUGGAACAGUUACUAUGGUCAAGUGAGAGUUGUUUUCAGUGAAUUUCCUUUUCUGAUAGAGCCAAGAUUUCAGUGGAUUGGUAAAUCAAAUUCCUAUUGGUCGAAGUUGUUACUUAAUUUUUUUUCUGAUCUAUCCAAUUGGCAGUGCUUUUUGAUCGCUAAAUUACAGUGUGUUGGCGGGUGCUUGAUUCUGCUCUCAUGUAAAUGAUGAGGCUAUAUCCACCCCUUUUGGCUUCAUAUAAAUGAAAGCUAGUAUCUCAACAAGCCAUGGAGUAGACUCUUAAGCCCUGACUGGAGGCCAAGGAGAAGAUGAGAGACCAAGAAACACAAGGCCAACAAACCCUGUUCUCCACUCUUGUUUCUCCUACUGAAUUUAGUGCCAUUGUUAGUGUUGAGCGCUGACACAUUGAGCAGAAGUGAAUUCCCACUCCCACCUGACUUUGUCUUCGGUUCAGGAACUUUUGCUUAUCAGCUUAUUUUUUUGUUUUCUUCCAUUUAUUUUAUCCUACUUAUCAGGUUACUAGUAUCAGUAAGUCCAGGAACGCAACUGUGUCCGCAACUCCUUCGAUGUAUGUGGAUCCACGUGCAUCGGAAGCCUCCGGAUGCAGAUGUGUUUUAAAGUUGUAUUCCUAGCAUUGCUCUACUAGUAAACCCUAGCGUACAUUGUUUUGUUCUUUGACUUUUCAUAGUUGCAAUACGGAACAACCCAUUAAUACAAUCUGAUGAAUGUUGGUGUCUUA